AUUUCAUUCAUUAAGAAAAAUAAAAUUUAUGGUAGUAACAUGAAUAUAUAUAUAUAUAUAGAGAGAGAGAGAGAGAGAGUCCGGCUGGUAUACUAUCGAUAGCACCAAGCACCAAGCACUGGAUGCUACCGAAUUUUCCACCGUUAGAUUGAACACUUUGACUAUUUUACCCGUUUGAUUAUACUAUUCAACCGACAACUUAAUUACUCAACCCUGAAGGGCCCACAUCAUCCUAAUCGUACAUUUCUUCAUCUAAGGGCCAAAAACCUAAUAGCACCGAUAGCUUGAUGGUAUUAAUAGUCUUUCAGUCUAAUUCUAUAUAUAUAAUAGUACGACAGUUCCAAUACUCAUAAUAGUAUAGUAGCCACGACCUAUAUAUAUAUAUAUAUAUAUAUAUAAUCUCAU
rnacentral:lncRNA from 1 species